CGAUGGAUAGGGGUUCUGAGAGGAAGGUCCCCCACAUUGGAACUGAGACACGGUCCAAACUCCUACGGGAGGCAGCAGUGAGGAAUAUUGGUCAAUGGACGAGAGUCUGAACCAGCCAAGUAGCGUGAAGGAUGACUGCCCUAUGGGUUGUAAACUUCUUUUAUACGGGAAUAAAGUGAGCCACGUGUGGCUUUUUGUAUGUACCGUAUGAAUAAGGAUCGGCUAACUCCGUGCCAGCAGCCGCGGUAAUACGGAGGAUCCGAGCGUUAUCCGGAUUUAUUGGGUUUAAAGGGAGCGUAGGCGGGUUGUUAAGUCAGUUGUGAAAGUUUGCGGCUCAACCGUAAAAUUGCAGUUGAUACUGGCGACCUUGAGUGCAACAGAGGUAGGCGGAAUUCGUGGUGUAGCGGUGAAAUGCUUAGAUAUCACGAAGAACUCCGAUUGCGAAGGCAGCUUACUGGAUUGUAACUGACGCUGAUGCUCGAAAGUGUGGGUAUCAAACAGGAUUAGAUACCCUGGUAGUCCACACAGUAAACGAUGAAUACUCGCUGUUGGCGAUAUACAGUCAGCGGCCAAGCGAAAGCAUUAAGUAUUCCACCUGGGGAGUACGCCG
rnacentral:rRNA from 1 species